AGCAGCAGAGGUGAACACAUCCCGCAUUCAACCCUCGCCUUUUACUAGAGUUGACCGUGCGUCUGCCUCAUUGAAUGCUGCCACCAAUUUUUCAGACAAAUGUCCUUCUCGGACCUC
rnacentral:snRNA from 1 species